AUACUUACCUGGACGGAGUCAAUGGGUGAUCACGAAGGCCCAUGGCUUAGAUAAGGGACUUCCAUUGCACUUUGGAGGGGCCCAUAUCUAAGGUCUACCUAAAUGGUGGAGCCUACGUCAUAAUUUGUGGUAGUGGGGGCAUGCGUUCGCGCGGCCCCUGU